AUAGAAGUAUAUGUACCUGUGGGAACAGAAAAAAAAAAUAGUAUUAAAGUGGUUGAAUUUGCAAUGUAUGUUUCUCUUUAAGUUUCCUAUAUUAUAAAAAUUAACAUAAUGUUUUGAGGAAAAUAUUCAUUGUGAAUAUUUAAGUUUUGUCCAGAGGUCCUGAGUUGGAUAUGUGAAGUGAGAUGCUCGUGAACACUGCAGAUAAAUUGAUGCACACACAGUCACAGCAGUUGAUUCUGACUUAGGAACAUUUCACUCUCCUUUCCUUUGCUCAUUUUGGUGGUGAAGAUCUCGUCCAGAAGUAAUAUACGUCAAGAAAGAAGAGAUUAUAAAUGUCUAGCAGGGACUGUUAGAAAUAUAUUUGGUGCCCUUGAUGAUUUCUCAAUCAAGACAGGGAACACUGAGGUACAACCACAUAGAGCAUCGGAGCUGCUACGGUAAAGGGGAAGGAGAGAUUCCUACUCUGGUUGAUGACACUGGAUCCUUGCAAGCUGGACAUCUCGGAACAACAGACACAGCUGUUCAACCUCAGAGCUUCUAGACUUCCCAUGUUCCAAGUCCACUUCUGCCGGCAGAAUAGAAACCUCGUCAGUUAUCACAACUCAGAUGAAAAAGCCUCACAGCUUGCGGUGUUGACAGUAUUCUAGAAGACCCUACACCCCUGUGGCUUCUCGAUGACUAAUGUGGAGCCAGCAUCUGUCAGCACAAACUCAGAGUGAUUACCCAGAAAUAGGUGCUUGGCAACAAUCCCAAUUCAUUACCCAUGUCCUAGCCCAGAGUGUGGAGGAAAAGUGAUACCAUCAAUUUCUUGGCAAUUAUCCCAUGACG
rnacentral:lncRNA from 1 species